rnacentral:rRNA from 1 species
GUGGGGGAUAACGUAGGGAAACUUACGCUAAUACCGCAUACGACCUACGGGUGAAAGCAGGGGAUCUUCGGACCUUGCGCGAUUGAAUGAGCCGAUGUCGGAUUAGCUAGUUGGCGGGGUAAAGGCCCACCAAGGCGACGAUCCGUAGCUGGUCUGAGAGGAUGAUCAGCCACACUGGAACUGACACACGGUCCAGACUCCUACGGGAGGCAGCAGUGGGGAAUAUUGGACAAUGGGCGCAAGCCUGAUCCAGCCAUACCGCGUGAGUGAAGAAGGCCUUCGGGUUGUAAAGCCCUUUUGUUGGGAAAGAAAUCCAGCCGGCUAAUACCUGGUUGGGAUGACGGUACCCAAAGAAUAAGCACCGGCUAACUUCGUGCCAGCAGCCGCGGUAAUACGAAGGGUGCAAGCGUUACUCGGAAUUACUGGGCGUAAAGCGUGCGUAGGUGGUUGUUUAAGUCUGUUGUGAAAGCCCUGGGCUCAACCUGCGAACUGCAGUGGAAACUGAACAACUAGAGUGUGGUAGAGGGUAGCGGAAUUCCCGGUGUAGCAAUGAAAUGCGUAGAGAUCGGGAAGGAACAUCCAUGGCGAACGCAGCUACCUGGACCAACACUGACACUGAGGCACGAAAGCGUGGGGAGCAAACAGGAUUAGAUACCCUGGUAGUCCACGCCCUAAACGAUGCGAACUGGAUGUUGGGUGCAAUUUGGCACGCAGUAUCGAAGCUAACGCGUUAAGUUCGCCGCCUGGGGAGUACGGUCGCAAGACUGAAACUCAAAGGAAUUGACGGGGGCCCGCACAAGCGGUGGAGUAUGUGGUUUAAUUCGAUGCAACGCGAAGAACCUUACCUGGCCUUGACAUGUCGAGAACUUUCACAAGAUGGAUUGGUGCCUUCGGAACUCGAACACACGUGCUGCAUGGCUGUCGUCAACUCCGUCAUGAAAUGUUGGGUUAAUUCCCGCACCAGCCCAACCUUGUUCUUAGUUGCAGCACCUAAUGGUGGGAACUCUAGGAAAACCGCCGGGACAACCCGAGA